CAUUUUUGAGUUCAUAAAUUACUACUAGAUCAUUAGCAAUUUUCUUUAAAGUUAGGUUUCCAUUAUCAUCUUCUCCAAAAUUCAUUUUCGAAAAUUCUCGAAAAUUUUCCGAAAGUUUUUCGUGGUUCAAAAAGCGAUUCCAGUGCUGUGCAUGUUAAUCUGAACCUGUUUGGAGAUCUCAUUGGAUAUUUGGUGCGGACAGUGAAUCCAGAGGUACGAAUAGCAUAUUUGGUGCGAUUUGUGUUGAUUGUUCUUCAUCUUCUGCUUCAUUUUUCUUCUUCGGCUUCAUUUUGAAUCGGUGUGCGAAGAUUGAUCGAAGAAUAGUAACGGUGCCAAUCGGAGGUUAGUGAUUCCCGAUGACCUAAAUCGGAAUCGCGCGUGGAGGUAUUGGAAACGGAAGAAUAGCAAACGGCAGUGGCGUUUUCCAGCGAAACCGGUGAACGGAGAAGACGAUCGGAGAAAUCUGUUUGAAUCACGAUAGAGUUGGUUUGGUGAAUCGAAAAUCGAAGAAUUAAAACAGUGAAGAAUGAAUUUAUUCAUGUAAGUUCUUCUUCCGUUUCACUUCCGAUUCCGAAGAUUUGUGAUUCUGCUUUUGCGUUCAUCUGGUUCUUCAUUUCUUUUUGGAGCGAUUUUGGAAAUCUAUGAUUGGAAUCGGUUUCUGUACUGGAUUGUUAAAGCAUUGAAGCAAUUUGUUUUAUUCGUCGUUUUGUCCUGAGCAAUUUGAACAUUGUUAAGUUCUUUUCGGUACAAAUCGAGAAUCGUGAUUGAGACGUUGAACGAACGGAUUUGUGUUGGAUUAAUCAAAGAACUGGUGCGGCGUUCUCUAGUGACUAGAGUAGAGGAACGAAGAAACUGCAUUAUAUGAUUGUGCAUACAGCUUCGUCUUCUCAAACGCGGAAUUGAAAUUGAAGUGAUUUUGAGAAGUGAAUUGUGGGGUCCGUAAAUUUGAAGAAUUUGAUGAGAAAUGGUGUGCCAAAGGUGCAGGUGAAUCAAGUACUACCAAGCUACUGGAAUUUGCAAUCACACGGUGGGACCCAUGCUUUAAAGUUAAAUGCAAUUUGUUGAAUAAUGAGGGAGCGUAAAUUUUGGUGAGAAAUUUGGCGAUUGGAGUUCCUUUGCGCGGACCCGCGAGAAUUGAGUUCUUUGGACCAAGCUACAUUGGGCAGCAACAUUUUGGAUUUCAUGGUCUACUAAGAAUUUUCAUCAUUCUUUGUUUUUCUUUUUGUAAUCCAAUUCUAGUGCCAAUCUUUAGGUGCUUCUUUUGAGUGCCUACUUUCUUGAAAACCUUUAAUUUCUUGCUUGUCUUGAUUUUAUGGAUAAUCUUUGUGUUUGUCAUCUCUAAUCUCCUUUGAGUUUCACUCUUCAAAUUGAGCUUUUAUUGCUUUUAUUAUUGACCUCUUGAAGUGGAAUAUACCUUGAAUUUGUUCUUUGUGAAAAUUGAGCUAACUUCUAGGUAACAUCCUAAGAGAAGGCAAAGGACUUUGCAAGGGGUACUCACCUUUGGAGGACAAACAAGUAAAGGCUUGGAGAGAAACACUUGUGAGAGAAGAGAAGAGAACUUUGAAGAUUAUUUUUUUAAAAUUUUGUGUGAUUUCAAUUGUUUUGUAAUUUGGCCAUUAUCUUUACUUUAGGUGUCUUGGAAGAGCCUUUGGUGUUCUUCCAUCUCCUACAAGUUUUCUUUAAUUUUCUUAUUAGAUACACGCUUUAGACGGUGAGUGUGUCUUGAAGGUUCACAAGUGCCAACAAGCCUCACCAUUAGGAGUCGUCUAGUUUAAAUUUUUGCAAUUUAAAUUCUUAGUUUUUAAAAGCUUUCUUUUAGUUUCUUUCUUUAGAAAACUCUUUGUUUGGGUUGAAGAAGUUUUCAUUGGAAGGAGAUUUGUGAAGUGCAUUGGGAUAAGUUCUGGCUAGGAAAGACUUUGUACUUAAGAGUGUCUAUUGUGACCCACCUCUCUUUCCUGGGAAUUUACCUUGUGUGCUAAACUCACUUUCCUUCUUGUGAAAAAUCUUUUAAAUACAAAGCUUAAUAUGUCUAUGUAU
rnacentral:lncRNA from 1 species